rnacentral:Y_RNA from 1 species
GGCUCAUCCAAAGGAAGUGCGUUAUCUCGAUUGAUUGUUCACAGUCAAUUACAAAUCAAACUCCUUGUCACACUCUCUCCCCCCUUUUCACUAUUGCAUUUGAUGAGUCUUAA